rnacentral:rRNA from 1 species
UUUGGGGAUGUAAUAUCUUCGGUCGAUUCUCAAACUUUAAAUACGCAAGAUAGAGAUGGUUGCUUAAUUGAACCUCUCUACUGAAAACGUCGGCCCUGUGGGCCACUUUUGGUAAGCAGAACUGGCGAUAUGGGAUGAACCAUAAGUUUGGUUAAGGCGUCAAAAUACCCGCUUAAAGAUCCCACAAAAGGUGUUGGUUCAUCUAGACAGCAGGACGGUGGCCAUGGAAGUCGGAAUCCGCUAAGGAGUGUGUAACAACUCACCUGCCGAAUGAACUAGCCCUGAAAAUGGAUGACGCUUAAGCGGGUUGCCGACACCAGACCGUUUCGAUAAGAAGCGAUCGAAAUGAGUAGGAGGGCGUGGCGGUUUUGUUGUGAAGGAUGAGACGCAAGUCUAUCUGAAACGGCCGCUAGUGCAGAUCUUGGUGGUAGUAGCAAAUAUUCAAGCGAGAUCCUUGAAGGGCGAAGCGGGGAAGGGUUCCACGCGAACAUUGAUUGGGCGUGGGUGAGUCGUUCCUAAGCCGGGUGGUAAUCGUUCUUCGAUCGGCGAAAGGGAAGCGGGUUAAAAUUCUCGCACACGGAUGUGGAGGCGGUGACGCAAAUUGAGGUGGAGACGUUAGCGGUGGCACUGGGCAGAGUUUUCUUUUCUGUUUAACCUGUGAGUGCACUCUGUGGAAUCCGAUUAUCGGGCGAAACAGGUGCUUAUGGGAAGAGCGUCGGGGCGUCCCCGGCGUCCAGUACGCCACCGAUAGCCCUUGAAAAUCCAUCUGCAAUGAAAUUUCACGCCGUGGCGUACCGAUAACCGCAUCAGGUCCCCAAGGUGAACAGCCUCUGCUCAAUAUGAACAAUGCAGGUAAGGGAAGUCGGCAAAAUAGACCCGUAACUUUGGGAAAAGGGUUGGCUCUAGUGGGGUGGGGGAUUUUACUGAGUCAUUUGGGUUUGGUUUGGUUGUGUCGGNGU